CCUACGGGAGGCUGCAGUCGAGAAUCAUUCACAAUGGGGGAAACCCUGAUGGUGCGACGCCGCGUGGGGGAAUGAAGGUCUUCGGAUUGUAAACCCCUGUCAUGUGGGAGCAAAUUAAAAAGAUAGUACCACAAGAGGAAGAGACGGCUAACUCUGUGCCAGCAGCCGCGGUACUACAGAGGUCUCAAGCGUUGUUCGGAAUCACUGGGCGUAAAGCGUGCGUAGGCUGUUUCGUAAGUCGUGUGUGAAAGGCGCGGGCUCAACCCGCGGACGGCACAUGAUACUGCGAGACUAGAGUAAUGGAGGGGGAACCGGAAUGCUCGGUGUAGCAGUGAAAUGCGUAGAGAUCGAGAGGAACACUCGUGGCGAAGGCGGGUUCCUGGACAUUAACUGACGCUGAGGCACGAAGGCCAGGGGGGCGAAAGGGAUUAGAUACCCGGGUAGUC
rnacentral:rRNA from 1 species